rnacentral:rRNA from 1 species
UAAGACAGAUGUGAAAUCCCCGGGCUCAACCUGGAACUGCAUUUGUGACUGCAAGGCUAGAGUGCGGCAGAGGGGGAUGGAAUUCCGCGUGUAGCAGUGAAAUGCGUAGAUAUGCGGAGGAACACCGAUGGCGAAGGCAAUCCCCUGGGCCUGCACUGACGCUCAUGCACGAAAGCGUGGGGAGCAAACAGGAUUAGAUACCCUGGUAGUCCACGCCCUAAACGAUGUCAACUGGUUGUUGGGUCUUCACUGACUCAGUAACGAAGCUAACGCGUGAAGUUGACCGCCUGGGGAGUACGGCCGCAAGGUUGAAACUCAAAGGAAUUGGCGGGGACCCGCACAAGCGGUGGAUGAUGUGGUUUAAUUCGAUGCAACGCGAAAAACCUUACCCACCUUUGACAUGUACGGAAGUUACCAGAGAUGGUUUCGUGCUCGAAAGAGAACCGUAACACAGGUGCUGCAUGGCUGUCGUCAGCCCGUGUCGUGAGAUGUUGGGUUAAGUCCCGCAACGAGCGCAACCCUUGUCAUUAGUUGCUACGAAAGGGCACUCUAAUGAGACUGCCGGUGACAAACCGGAGGAAGGUGGGGAUGACGUCAAGUCCUCAUGGCCCUUAUAGGUGGGGCUACACACGUCAUACAAUGGCUGGUACAGAGGGUUGCCAACCCGCGAGGGGGAGCUAAUCCCAUAAAACCAGUCGUAGUCCGGAUCGCAGUCUGCAACUCGACUGCGUGAAGUCGGAAUCGCUAGUAAUCGCGGAUCAGCAUGUCGCGGUGAAUACGUUCCCGGGUCUUGUACACACCGCCCGUCACACCAUGGGAGCGGGUUCUGCCAGAAGUAGUUAGCCUAACCGCAAGGAGGGCGAUUACCACGGCAGGGUUCGUGACUGGGGUGAAGUCGUAACAAGGUAACC